UGGCCAACAAGUGUGUGUGUGUGUGUGUGAGUGUGCGCGCGCGCUCGUGUGUGUUUAGGCAGAUUUAUUUAACAGUAAAUGAACACAGAUGCAGAGGGUUGUUACUGAAGUGUGGCUUUUUGUUCCGUGUUAUAAUCUGUAGCUAGCUUGAAUGUAAAUGAUGUAUUUUAACGUUAGAACCAGGCUUACAUUUGAUUCCAGGCCCUUCAUACUUCUGUCCUGUAUUUUUAUCCUGUAUUUAUUUAUUUAUUUAUUUAUUUUUGGUAAUUUGGCUGUACAAACUCACUAUAGCUUUCUGUGAUAGAGAUUUCAGCAUAAGAAAAAAAAAAUCACCUAGAUAUCAUGUGUACGCAAGAUUUAAACAUCAAUAUUGUAAAGCAUGUAAAUUCCCCUAUUGUCUAAUUAAACGAAUUAGUACAACUGUGCAUUUGUUUUAAGGUAAUUGAUAUUGGGCAUUUUGCUGUAGAUAUUGCUGAAAGUGUAAUGAUCAGUGGCUACUGGUUUCAUUUGAAGUGACUGUCGAACACACUGAACCAAAUGCAUAUUCGUAAAUCGAAUACUGUUCCAUGGCAUUUCUAAUCUGAGAUGAUGAAUACGCUGUUGUAUUUGUAUGUCAGCAUGCUUUAAUAAGUAACACCGACUAUAACAGUGCCAUAUUGUCCCUCGCUCUGGCGUGUGAUGUAAUUGCUCACUCGAUUGCGUCAUUGAUUGCGUCUUUCCUGGCGGGCACUGAAAGGGUCCUGUGGUCAUAGCUACUACUGUACAUCAAGGUUUGGCUCUGUCCCAAACCACAUAGUGUCCUGCUAAAUAAUAUGUGACAGUAGUAUAAUACAAGAUACAUAGAGGGAAGAGUUAAAAAGUUUGGGAUCUCCGACCUCAUAACUAGUGCUGCGACGAUACGCGUUUUUGAAAAACAUGAUUAUUAUUCUUUUUUAAAAGAUUUUUUGGCUGUUUAGAAUCACACAUUUCUCUAGUACAGUUUCCGUUUGCGCCAAAGCCAUAAUAACGCAGACUCAACUACCAACCAAUAGAAAUAUCCUUUAUAGUCCUUUAAAUAUUCCUUAUCCAUUAUCAACAGUACUGUCAGUAAUAUAUAGUACAAAUAUCAACAGUACUACGAGCAAUAUAUCAGUAUAAUUUACAGUAACUACAUGCAAAAUGGUUAUCGGAACAUAUACGGUAUUUAGUUGAUAACCGAAGCUUUAUACUCAAGAAGAAACUGAACCACUUUGUCAUUUCAACAUCCAUAAUCUUGUUUGUGAUGUCUUCAGCACAACAUGGGUCGAGUCCUAUGAAGACAAAAACAAAACAUUUAUUGAAGACAAAAACAAAACAUUAUCAUCUUAUCUGGCUUAAACAAAUAUUUUAUCCUAGACAAUUCCCAGGACAUUUUGGAUACAAGUGCAUAUCUAAAGUGUUUCAGGCUGACACUGCGUUUGCAGACCAAAGAACAAAGCUGUCUCGGUGUGAGACCUACACCUUGUAGCUAAAGAAUUAAAAGGCAAAAAUGGCUCAUUGACUGAAUGAGCAGUGAGACAGGUCUGGCCUGACAGUGUUUGAGCUCUGAACAUUGGACCUGUUGCAAGCAGAAUGAGAAUAAAUGUGACCAACAGAGACAGUUAAUGGUAGUUUGAUGAAAUGAAUCAUGCAGCCCAUGCCCAGCAGAAGUAACAACUUAAUUUGAAUCAUAUCUUUAUCAGACACACUCAGCCUCAAAAAACACAAACUCAUAACAAACCUCUUGCCAGCCUGCAAAAUUAGCAGCUGCACAACCCUUUAUGUGCAGUCAGCUUAACAUGUCUGCUGAAGCAAGACACGGCCUGUAGUUUAAAUAGCAGCUUGAUAUUCUGUUAUGCAAUGUGUUAUUCACUUAUCUGUUUGCUAUGUACAAAGAUACUUUUCUGUAUGUUUGCGUUCAUGUUUAACAUAACCAAAUCAUAUCUACACAAUAUCCAUAAUCCUGUGAUCAUGCUGUCAUAGAGAAAUUGCUGCUUUAACACAGCCAUGUCUCUCAACAGUGCAUGAGAGGAGCUCGAACAGUGUAUAAACCUAGUGUAACUGUCAUGCAUGAAAAUCAUGCAAUGAUUUGUAAUUUCCGGUACAAUAUCUAUAGUAAAGCACUGAGAAUCACCCAGUAAUGUUCCGAUAUUGACAUUCUCGCAAUACCCACGUCGACUCUCUACAAAGUUUUGUUACAUCGUGCUUAGAGCUGUCUUGUUUGCCUCCUGUACAUCAGUCAGCAUCAGACGCCUUCACGGCAUAAAAUACAUCACUGGAUCAAAUCAUAAGAUAUGUCAAAUUUGAUCCGUUACUCAUCCAGCAUUUUAGAUCAGAUGCUCAGUAUCUGAUUGGUGUGUCCAUAGUGCAUGAAUAUCAGUCCCUCCAGGAUUUUGUGAUUAUGUGAUCGCAGAAAUGAAUGCAAAACCUGAUUAAAAACCAUAUUGAUGCACGGUAACGGCACUCCGCUUCAUGUCUUGCCGCUUUACACCACCCCGUCGUGGAUUAUUUUUUAUAACCGUAUGGUCUGUCCUGUGUUAUUCUUUAAUUAAUCACCAUGGAAACUCAUAUUUAAUAACAUAUUAUUCAAUAUUAUUAUAUUUACAUAGUGUUGUGGUAUACACCGAUCAGCCAUAACAUUAAAGCCACUGACAGGUGAAGUGAAUAACAUUCAUUAUUUCAUUACAGUGCCACCUGUCACAGGGUGGGAUAUAUUAGGUAGCAAGUGAACAGUCAGUUGUUGAAGUUAAUGUGUUGGAAGCAGGACAAAUGGGCAAGCAUAAGGAUCUUAAUUUGGACUUUGACAAGGGCCAAAUUGUGAUGGCUAGACAUCUGGGUCAGACCACAGUGCAUAAAUUGUUCAGGAAUGCUUUGAGGAACAUGACAAAGAGUUCAAGGUGUUGACUUGGCCUCCAAAUUCCUGAGAUCUCAAUCCGAUCGAGCAUCUGUGGGAUUUGCUGGACAAACAAGUCUGAUCCAAUGGCGGCUCCACCUCAGAACUUACAGGACUUAAAGGAUCUGCUGCUAACGUCUUGGUGCCAGAUACCACAGCACACUUUCAGAGGUCUUGUGGUGUCCAUGCCUCGACGGAUCAGAGCUGAUUUGGCUGCACAAGGGGACAUGAUGUUAGGCAGGUGGUUUUAAUGUUAUGGCUGAUCGGUGUAAAAUAAUGGAACAUUAAUAUAUGGAAACUGUAUAAACCUGUAGUUCUGAACAAUAAAAUGGACAAUAUUUAUUGAUAAUUUUGUUCUGACUUGUCAGUGUCUCACAGUUGCUGAUAAUCCCAGCACUAGAUAUGAAGUUAGAGAUUUAAAUCGACUGUUAAACAAAAAAAGGUGAGUUACAAGCAGUUGCAAAAUGGACGGUUUCAGAAACUCUGCCUGAGCCAAGGACGCAAUUAACCGGUAAAGCAUAUUAAAAAUGACUAGCAUUGUUAGCUUAAGCGCUGUUCAAAUGAAACCAUCGCAUCCUGUCAUCCUGGAAUUUUCUUCUUGUGUGAAUGCGCUGGAUUCAGUAAUAUUAUAGCAACAGACUGUGUGUAAGAACUGACAGCAUUGCUAGAAAGUUCGCAAGGUUCCAGAUUUUUUAUGUGUGCAGGACCCUGUCCUGCUUUCUCUCUCUCUCUCUCUCUCUUUCCCUCACUCUCUCGCUCACACACACACACACACACACACACACACACACACACACUAUCUCUGUCUUAUUCUCUUACUAUCUAUGUCUUUCUCUGGCUCUGUAUCUGUUUUCCAUUUUUCACCAACCAGUAUUAUGCCAUUCCAAACACCAGAACAAGCAGCUGCAAGUCCUAACUCUCCCUGACUUGCAGACACUUUUUACACAACACUGACUUGAUGUUCAUCAAUUGUCUUGCUGAUAAAGACACAAAACCGCACUGAAAUAUCCAGGAACACCAUUUGCUUUUAUUUGCGUGAGGAUGCCAGGAGGCAAAGCAGCUGAAAGCCACGUGAAUUUAUACUUCUUUAGGCUUAAUAAGAACACUUCCUGUAGUUUGGAAAUGUUUUUACUAUUGUGUUACAUUGUAACUGUGAUGAAUUGCACAAUAUCAGAGGUUUGUAGGGAAUCUGAGAGCAUUUCAGUAUGGGUAGAAUAAGAUUAUGGGAGCAUUACAGAGCAGGUGUGAGCGCACGCGUGUGUGUGUGUGUGUGUGUUUGGUGGUAUGGGGGUUGUGUGAGUUUGAAUGCUGAUGGUUGAGGAGCAUGGAGGACUGAAAAGGCCAGCUGUCCCUACCAUGAUAAAGAUUUUUUUUAAAUCAGAGAAUCUGAAUACGAAUCCAUUUUCAAGGUGUAAUUUUUCUACUCAUCAACUUAUUUUGUAUGCUUAGCUUCUAUUAUUCAGAUCAGUUCAGUUUUAUUUGUGCAGCAUUUUAACAGUAGACAUUGUCGGGGUAGAGUAUACAGUACUAAGUGUGUUGAAAGGGUGUUAUAUUGUGAAUAAGAGUCUUUCAGAUUACAGCAGCAGUUCUUAGGUACAACUUUACAGAAUCCAUUUGAGAUUUCUGUAGAGAUCCAGGUUUUGGGAAGUAUAAAUCUUUAGGGAAUCCAUGUAGGAUACCCUCACAUUAUCUGCAUUGUAGGGGAUAUUAGAAGUAGAGGGUGUCAGACAGAGUGUCAUGUCCCACAUUAGCUACCCAAUUUACUCCAACUAGGGUUGGGAAAUACGACCAUAUAAUGUUGAUAUUGUGAUGAUGUCACAGUGCACAAUUCUGAGAUAUCUUUUAUAAUUUUUUUUAUUAAUUACAAAGUGACUAGUAGCGGCUGAUGUGAUGUUACGUGUUUCAGUUAUAUUUUACGUAUUUUUCAUUAGUUAUUUUAAUAAAAAAUACAUUUAUAUUUGUAGAUAUAAGAUAAAUCAUUGAACAGGUUUUUUCUUUUUUUUAAAUUAAUCACUACUGUGUUGCUGUCCUAUAUAUUGCAAUGCAGGACAUAUUGUGUGUGCCGAAGUGCCUUCAGGAAUCGUGAUUAGUUAGAGAUGGCACGAUACCACGUUUUCUUUUCCGAUACCGAUACUGAAACCUUGAGUACCCGCCGAUACUAGUACCUAGGGCUGGCUGAUAUGACAGAAAUAUCACGAUACUUGAGGACAUUUCUACGAUGCACAAUGGGCAUCACAAUAUAUAAUUUAGCCAACAAACUAUCCUCAAAACAGUAGUAAAAUAACCAAAACAACAUUAAACUGACUUUGUUGGUCCGUUUCUUUAAUACCCACAAAGACAAGGAAGAUGAAUUUUUUUUAAUUACCUCAAAUCAAUGACAUCCAUUCAGUAGCAAAUAAUUUGUAAUUAUCAAAAACAAAAAAAUACAUCACCAUACCAACAAUAUCACAGAAAAGUGUAUAGCGUAAUCAUUUAUCUUGAUAUCAAUGUUAUAUCAAUAUAUCGCCCAGCUCUACCGGUACCUGUUCGAUAUUGUUUUCUGCAAAAACUUCUAAGCUUUCAAACGACUGAGCGCUUCACAAUUCGACUCUUUCACACAAAAAUCACUUACAUUGUAAAUAUAGUGAAUAUUAUGAAGAAUAAAUAUAAUCAAAUCAAUCCUAAGAAAAAAACAGUCAAGUCGGUUUCUUUUCCAAAUCCAGUACCAAUCUUUGCUAUUUGUUACAGGAUCUGAUGUCCGAUAGGUUUUCUCCAAUUUCCAAUCAACAUGAUCUUUUUGUCAUAUCGACCCCUAACCCAGCCACGGUAGAGUACUAUUCAGUCUGUACAGGACUUCAGUCCGGCCAUAAAUGCGUGUUGUGAUGACGCCACAUGACACAUCUUGACCCAAAUCUGCGCAAAAUCUGCUGUAAAAUUGAAAAAUCGCAAACUCCUUAGAAUAUUGCAGAGUUUUUGAUUGAGUGCUUAAUUCUGCAUUCAUUUCUGUGAUUGAAAAAUUGCAAAAUCUUUGAGGGACUGUCUGUUUUUUUAAAAUUUUUUUAUUUUUUAUUUUGACAAAUAAACAGGAUCACCACCGGACUCUUCAGCGUUCACUCUAGAUAUCUACUGAAUACAGUAUACUGAAUACAAACUCGGUCUUUUGAGGCCCCUCGACAUAUGUUUUUGACUCAUGCCAUUCCUAACUUUGUUUCUCUCUCUGUCAUUAGGUGUUUAUGUUGUUGUGGAAACACCAGUGCCAGCCAUUUUGUGAUCUGCCACACCCAUACAGUUCUGCUCAUGUGCAAAUGAGAUAACAUUUAUUAUCUCAUUAACAUUUAACCACAGUGAAAUUGUAGUUAAGGAUAUAUAAUUUAGCUUGUGAAUGUAGUCUUAUGCUUAGUGACAAACAAUCUUUAGACCUAUCACAAAGGAUAUUUUUAUCAUAUUUUCUCCAAAGCCCUGAUUAGGAAGAGUUCAUCAUCAGGCACCAAACUCCACACAUGUACUUAACAGGAAAAUGUGAUAUGCUUUUUUUUCUUCUUCUUUCUUUUUUUUAAUUCUUUUUUUUUUUAGAGGUUUUGUUUUCAAACAUGCAUAUGUAUUAAAACACAAAAAACAGACUCUUUUGUAACCAAAAGUGCAAUUUCACGCUUAAUAUUACACACAACAUCUUUAAAUGUUUCUUCUACCCAUUGUAAGAGAUACUUAAUUUUUAUAGCAACAUGAACCUGAAAGAGGGCAGAAAACGAAAAUGAAGUGGGAAAUUGUAAGAGUUAGCUUUCUCUCAGACAAGGUGUGGACUUUACUCUCUCACCGAGUGUAGGUCUAAACUUAACGCUCAACAGGAAGCAGUGUCUUGCGCAUAUGUCUGGUCAGGAAGUGCCAUUAGCGAGCCCUUUGACUACUCUGUGGAGCAAGGGAUCAUGGGAGUCAGGAGCAGUUUUGAUGCCCAGCGUCACUAAAAAGACAACAACAAAGGGGGCGGGUUUGAAUUGUGUUUGCGUGUUUGACUCAGUUCAGUUUCCUGUCUACACACAAGAGAUGUUUACAGCCUACCAUGUCGAGUUUGGUCACAUAACCUGAGCCUGUGGCUUCCGCUGGUUAAUCUGAUGUGUACCGGAUGUGUGUAGGGUUUUUCCAUCAGGGCUAAGGACAGUGUGGUAAGGUGGUUGUAGUUGAACCUAUGGAGGUUUACUGUGUUAUAUGAAUGCACAGACUAAUUCAACCUGUAAGAAGGUUUUGCAUAAUUAUAAAGUAGCGAUUAAUUGUUAUAAGAUAAUGUUACUUUUUUAGAGCAUAACAAUUUAUACCAGAAGCUUUAAUGAAAAAAUUAUUAUCUCUCAAGUGCUUCAGAUCUCUCAUCUUUCCGCUAGAGGUGUGUAAAGGUGUUUAGAUCCUGAACACACUUGUAAUUGUUAUGCCUACAUUAAAAUCAGUGAAAAACUAUGAAAAAGAAAAGCCACCUGGCAUGUUUUUGAUGCAGAGUGCUGCAUCAUCAUGGUGUGCAAGCUAGAGCUGUGUCUCAGAACAAAAAUAAAUAUUGGAUGGGCCAUUUUUCCUCUCACGUGGAUGGGUGGGUUCUUUUCAGUAACAUUCAGCACAGCUCCUUUAAAAGCCUCUGUGGGUUUGGGACCCAUGGGUUUGCAGAUUAAAGUCCCCAUGAAAUCAAAAUUGAAGUUUUGUUGCUUUUAGUAUGAAUAUGUUAGCCUUAAGGUUAUCUAUAAGUGAGUUUGCUCCAAAACAACAACAAAAUUAGCAUUUAGAAGAUAUAUGCAUUCAAAAUUUACAGUGUCUCUCUACCACCAAUACGGAUCAACAAUUUUCCUGACAUCAUUCUGCUUCUCAUCAAUUUUUCUGUCCAAUAAAAUACUUUCUAGAAGUGUCCCGCCCCCAACAUUAUAUUAGUUUGAACAUGCGUAUUUUCUUCAGUUUUCCAACUGUAAGUGGUUAAGAACGAAAUGGCUUGAAUUAAUUUACUUUGAAGACUGAGGUAUUUGUGCCAGAUUACAGCUUUGGGCCAAGUGUUAUCUUAGAUCGGGCUGUGAGAUAAGCUAAAUAAGUCUGUUUAAAUAAGUGGGAGGAGCCACUUAAUAUGUCCUGCCCUGACUUUGUUUUUCAGUGGGAAUUAUGUCAACACAUCGAAUAACAUUGCGUGUUUCAAAGCACUUCACAGGGACUUUAAGUUAUCCACUGUCAUUGUGAUCACACUGUGAUCAGUUUAUUAAUCCAUUGAGCUUUUCACUCCUACAAUGAUGAACUUCAAAUUUUCAAGGAAUUUGGAUUUUACCCAAUACAAUAGAGUGCUGUAGGACAAGGGCUGGAAUAGUAAGCUGUGAAGCUUGUACUGUGCUUUUAAUAUUUCUGCUACUGACAGGAGGAAAGUUUAGUUAAUGAUGUCAGCUCACAUCAUGUUUGUCUACCCUGUCGCUUGGUCCUACUCUUUUCUUUUUCAUCUGCGUAUUUUUUUUUUUAGUUAGAGCUGUGUAUGGACUGCGUGUACACACAGAUGUGAUGCAAGUAAUGUCAAAUCAACAAGUGAUGUCAAAUCUACAUGGCCGCUCACAGCAUCAGCAGUAUACAAAGUAGCACUUCUUACCUUUAAAUGAGUUAUGCUGUAUAUACAAGUAUUUGCUUUGUAUCAAUCAACAUACAAAUGUUUUGUCUUGUUAAGUCUAUAAAAUGGGGGCACGGUGGCUUAGUGGUUAGCACAUUUGCCUCGAACCUCCAGGGUUGGGGGUUCGAUUCCCACCUCUGCCCUGUGUGCACGGAGCUUGAAUGUUCUCCCUGUGCUUUGGGGGUUUCCUCUGGGUACUCUGCUUUCCUCCCCAGUCCAAAGAGUUGUGUUGUUGGCUGAUUGGCAUGUCUAAAUUGUCCGUAGGGUGAAUGGGUGUGCGUGUGUGAUUGUGCCCUGCGAUGGGUUGGCACCCUGUCCAAGGUGUCCUCCACCUCAUGCCCUGAAUCCCCUGGGAUAGGCUCUAGGCUUCCCCACCACCCAGGAUAAGCAGGAUGGAUGGCUCUAUUAAGUAAAUAUCAUUGGUGACAUUGGUGCACCACAGCCAUGCUCUGGCCCUUUAAAUGUAUAGUAUGUGUUCUGGAUUGACUGAGCCUUUCCAGGGCUUUCCUCUGCUCACACACAUUGCAGGGUGUUUACACUGCAAAUCCCAGACUGUUUGCUUUAGAGAAGCCCUGCCUGUCCAGCCUCCCUUUCUCACACUGAUCAAGCUUCAGCUUCAUACCACAAUGAUAGUUCAACUUGUUAUUAUAUUGUUAAUAUAUGUUAUAUUGUUAUUAUAACACGAUCACAUUAUUAUUGCUAAAUGAUUUUCUGACCUGAGGCACAGUUCUGUUUGUAGUAUUUUUCAAAUUCAUCACAUAACGUUAUACGCUUUUGGUGAAAAUAAUUUCCAGGAUGAUUCCACAAAGGGUUUACACAAUGCUGCAUUUAUCACAGAAGCACAAAUUCUUACCUUCCUAAGCAUCCUCCACUUAUUACAAUGUUCCAUGUGUAGAAUAAUGCAGUUUAUAUCAAUUCUCGAAUCUGAUUGGUCAGAAAGUGUUGAUAACCAAUAACAACAGCUCUGACACUAGUGCCGCCGUCUGUAAGAUUUGUAUUAAUGUGCUUGUUUGAAUACAUUAUCAUUUCUAUUGUAACAAUGUACAAAGACGCUUGUAUGGUGUAAUCAUUGAUACGGUUAAGCUUUCUGAGAGAUAGAGAGAAAAAUGAAGGUGAUGCUGGUGAGAGGGAACAACUGUUUAUAAUUGCUAUAACGUAAACGAUAGCAGGAACUAACCGUUUGUUUCUUUUAUGGUUCACAAUAUUAAAUCUUAACUAUAAAUCGUUAAAAUAUGCAAUGUGUCAUUUAUUAAUAAAUGAAACAUUGUAAUUGCUGGCAAAUCGCUGUGGAAUAUGUAUAAGUGGAACAACACACUCGACACAAUGCGGCUAUAUGACAGUAAUCUAGAGCUGCAACUAACGAUUAUUUUCAUAAUCCAUUAGUUUAGAUUACUUUUUCCGAUUGAUCGAUUAAUCGGAUUGGGGCAAACUUUCAGUACCAUUUUUUCGUUUAUUUAAAAUAAAAUCCACAAACUGAGUGUUACAAAUAUAAACUUCAGACUAAAACUUUGCACAGCUGUUUGUCCAAUUAUAUAAAACUGAAAAGAACCCAAUACACACACACACACACACACACACACACACACACACACACCAGAAUAUAUAUUAUUCAUUUAGGACUGUAGUUUAAUUUCGUGAUUUUUGUGCAUCCAUAAAAAAUAUUGGAUAAAUACUUAUAUAUAAUAUAAACUAAUAUAUUUAAAGUUUAUAUUACAUAAUUUACAUUACAUUUAUGGAUGCCCAAAAAACCAAUGGAUUAAACUACAGUCCUAAAUUAAUAAUAAAACCUCACUUUCACUGCACCUUGUGGUUUCUGUUCCUCACUGCCUUUAGACAUAUUAUUUCGGAUACAAACAUAGGUAUGUGCUCGUGCAUCGCUAUCAUGUGUCCGUGCUACACAAUCUCCGCAAUGUUUGAUCAUCUCCACGGUGUUUAAUAUAAAAUGCUACCCUGCCUUAGAGGAAUUGGAGGUCGCACACUUUCUUCCUCAGUCACUUGAUGAUUUCGCCUCCGUCUGAUGGUGACUGAGGUCAUGUUGGGCAUAAAAGGUAACAUUGACAUAAACAGUAAACUGAAGAAAGUCAUUGUCGAUGCCUCUGGGUAUCUGCUAAAGCUAGCAGCGUCGCAUUACGUGGAAAAACAAAGUGUUACGUGCAUUUGUUUUAUGUAUUGGAAAGUUACUCAAUUACUUCAGGGCUUGUUUCCAAAUUGAAAAUAGCAGUUUGUAGUUUUAUUAUUGAUUGGGAUAGAGCAUGAAGUUAUUAUGUAAUAAACUGCAAAUUUCAAGAUCUAAUGGCAAUAUUCUAAUCUCUCACAUUUGUUAUUUAGAAAACAAGGAAUAAAAAUAUAUUAGAGUAGUUAGGAAAUAAACUUGUUAAUAUAGAUUGAUGAACCCAUUGACGACGCAUGCAGAUGAAUAAAUUGAGGUCAUUUGAGAGAACAGCUACUGCGUGACUAAGAGUCUUGUCAUCUUUUUAAAGCGAGUGAUGAUACGCUGACCUCGUAGUGAAGUAAUCCUCUCCCUAAUCACACUGCCUCAGGUCUGUUCUGGAUCAGUGAGAAGGUACGGUAAAGAUGAGUAAUUUAGGGAUGCUUCAUUCACCUUUGGGAUUGUAGCAGUCAUGCAGUUGUAGUCAUGAGGAUCAACUUGAGUCAAUGUGUGUAUAUGCACAUGUGUGAUAGCAAAUACUGGGGACACACUGGAUAGAUAGAUCGAUAGAUAGAUAGAAAGAAACUUCCUUAAUCCCAAGGGAAAUUGCAGAAGAUGUCUAGAGGAAUGACGAAUGUGACUCACUGACCUGAGUGGGCCAUUUCCUCUACUACUGCUAAUAGUACAUCACACAUACACUCGCGCACACGCACACACGCGCACGAUUGUAACCCCUUUGUCUACCAAUACACCUCGGGGUUUUUUUUAUUAUUAUUUUUGGUUUCCAUUUUCCUUAUUUGGUCAUGGUUUCCUGUUCUCAAUAACACAUGCUUCUCUCUGGUUUGGUUUUGUUUCCAGCUUCUCUAUUUACGCUCACUGUUUCCCACCUAAUUCUUGUGAAGUCUUUUUGAGUUCAUUGCAGUUUACAGAUGUGUCUUUUCACACAAAAGUCCCUUGUUUGUCUUUUACUGUAACUUCUUAGUUUCAGAUGUUCAGUGUAUUGUAUUUGUUUUCUAGUUUUUAAUGUGGAUUUUUAAUGGGCAUU